CUUCCAGUAGCACCUUAGAGACCAACUAAAUUUGUUAUUGGUAUGAGCUUUUGUGUUCAUACCAAUAACAAACUUUGUUGGUCUCUAAGGUGCUACUAGAAG